rnacentral:rRNA from 1 species
GGGACACGUGGUAUCCUGUCUGAAUAUGGGGGGACCAUCCUCCAAGGCUAAAUACUCCUGACUGACCGAUAGUGAACCAGUACCGUGAGGGAAAGGCGAAAAGAACCCCGGCGAGGGGAGUGAAAAAGAACCUGAAACCGUGUACGUACAAGCAGUGGGAGCCUCUUAAUGGGGUGACUGCGUACCUUUUGUAUAAUGGGUCAGCGACUUAUAUUCUGUAGCAAGGUUAACCGAAUAGGGGAGCCGAAGGGAAACCGAGUCUUAACUGGGCGUUAAGUUGCAGGGUAUAGACCCGAAACCCGGUGAUCUAGCCAUGGGCAGGUUGAAGGUUGGGUAACACUAACUGGAGGACCGAACCGACUAAUGUUGAAAAAUUAGCGGAUGACUUGUGGCUGGGGGUGAAAGGCCAAUCAAACCGGGAGAUAGCUGGUUCUCCCCGAAAGCUAUUUAGGUAGCGCCUCGUGAAUUCAUCUCCGGGGGUAGAGCACUGUUUCGGCAAGGGGGUCAUCCCGACUUACCAACCCGAUGCAAACUGCGAAUACCGGAGAAUGUUAUCACGGGAGACACACGGCGGGUGCUAACGUCCGUCGUGAAGAGGGAAACAACCCAGACCGCCAGCUAAGGUCCCAAAGUCAUGGUUAAGUGGGAAACGAUGUGGGAAGGCCCAGACAGCCAGGAUGUUGGCUUAGAAGCAGCCAUCAUUUAAAGAAAGCGUAAUAGCUCACUGGUCGAGUCGGCCUGCGCGGAAGAUGUAACGGGGCUAAACCAUGCACCGAAGCUGCGGCAGCGACACUAUGUGUUGUUGGGUAGGGGAGCGUUCUGUAAGCCUGUGAAGGUGUGCUGUGAGGCAUGCUGGAGGUAUCAGAAGUGCGAAUGCUGACAUAAGUAACGAUAAAGCGGGUGAAAAGCCCGCUCGCCGGAAGACCAAGGGUUCCUGUCCAACGUUAAUCGGGGCAGGGUGAGUCGACCCCUAAGGCGAGGCCGAAAGGCGUAGUCGAUGGGAAACAGGUUAAUAU